UCUUAGGUAUACCAGGCCUAUUUCUAGGUCUCUUAGCUAUACCAGGCCUUCUCAGUGGUCUACGUGGUCUACUUCCAGGUCUCCUUUUCCUAACAGGUCUUUUUCCUUUUAUAGGAGUACUUCCAGAUUUCUUAAGCAUUCCAGGCCUAUUUCCAGGUCUAUUAGCUAUACCAGGCCUAUGUCCAGGUCUCUUAGCUAUACCUGGCCUAUGUCCAGGUCUCUUAGCUAUACCAGGCCUAUGUGCAGGUCUAUUAGCUAUACCAGGCCUAUUUCCAGGUCUCUUAGGUAUACCAGGCCUAUUUCUAGGUCUCUUAGCUAUACCAGGCCUUCUCAGUGGUCUACGUGGUCUACUUCCAGGUCUCCUUUUCCUAACAGGUCUUUUUCCUUUUAUAGGAGUACUUCCAGAUUUCUUAAGCAUUCCAGGCCUAUUUCCAGGUCUAUUAGCUAUACCAGGCCUAUGUCCAGGUCUCUUAGCUAUACCUGGCCUAUGUCC